GAUGAACGCUGACAGAAUGCUUAACACAUGCAAGUCGAUGGGGAAGUGGUGCUUGCACCAUGGUAACCAUGGCGGACGGGUGAGUAACGCGUAAGGAACUUGCCUGCGGGACUGGGAUAACAGCAGGAAACUGCUGAUAAUACCGGAUAAGGUCAUUAAGCUGCAUAGCUUAGUGAUGAAAGGAGACGCCUGCGGAGAGCCUUGCGUCCUAUUAGCUAAUUGGAGGGGUAACGGCCCACCAAGGCGAAGAUAGGUAGCCGGCCUGAGAGGGUGGACGGCCACAAGGGGACUGAGAUACGGCCCUUACUCCUACGGGAGGCAGCAGUGGGGAAUAUUGGACAAUGGGGGCAACCCUGAUCCAGCAAUUCUGUGUGCACGAAGACGGUUUUCGGAUUGUAAAGUGCUUUCAGCAGGGAAGAAGGAAGUGACGGUACCUGCAGAAGAAGCGACGGCUAAAUACGUG
rnacentral:rRNA from 1 species